GACGAAGGGGGCUAGCGUUGUUCGGAAUUACUGGGCGUAAAGCGCGUGUAGGCGGUUGCCAUAGUCAGGUGUGAAAGCCUUGAGCUCAACUCAAGAAAUGCACUUGAUACUGGGCGACUAGAGGACCGGAGAGGAUAGUGGAAUUCCCAGUGUAGUGGUGAAAUACGUAGAGAUUGGGAAGAACACCAGUGGCGAAGGCGGCUAUCUGGACGGUUUCUGACGCUAGGACGCGAAAGCGUGGGGAGCAAACAGG
rnacentral:rRNA from 1 species